CAAUCAAUCAUGUUCUUCACUUCCCUUUAGUUUCACCUCCGUUUCUUUCUCCUCUUUUAUAAACCAUGUCGAAGUGCCUCUCCCGAGGUUUUGGGAGGCUCGAGGCGGCGAGCUUGGAUGUCGAUAUGCUACCCCUCAAAAUAUUUUUCUUUCAGUCUCAAGAAUGGUGUCUCUUUUGGGCAUCUUGACCUGUUUUUUCUUUUAGUAUUUUUUCUGAGUCAUUCUUCAAUUCAAGCUUAGAAUCCAUGUUUUUACUUUUCUGUUUAGCUUUUCAUUUUUCAUUUUUUUUUCUCACCAGCUUCUGAUGUUUCUUUUGAGAUUUCCAGCUAAUAUGUUGUAAAGUUCUCUCCUUCUGUACGUCUUUAAAAGAAUCCAACACAAUCAACGGUUUGAAGACAUUCCUUUGGAUUCUGUUUAGGUACAUGUAUAGAUAUUCAUAGCUGGAUCUGAGUUUCUUAGUAAGCUGAAUAUAUUUUUUUCUGAGAAAGUGAUUAAAAACAGUUAAUUCAUACUUUCUUUAGUUUGGUUCUACUGAUUUAGUGACUUUCAGACUAACCACCAGCUUCAGGUGCUAAUAAACGACAACUAUCAAGUUUUCAACUUGAACAAACUAUAUCUAAAUGGCGGAGGCUGAGAGCUUUGUCCCUUUUCAGUGCAUAAGGAAUGAUGUCAUUUGGAGACUCAAAUCCUACAAGCAUGAUUGGAUCAGUGCUUUCAGAGCUGAAUUUAGGCUCUAUCCCAGGAUCAGACGGAUAGAGACAUUGCCAAAUGAAGUCAGUACAAUUUUCUCAGAAAAGGAUAUAUUGUGAAACAUGCACAGCAGAUAGAAGUACUAAGACAUCCUGCAGUGGGAGGCUUUUGGCUGUGGAUGGAACUCAACACUCAAGAGCAUUGUGAAAGGAGUUCCACUGAUUUGUAGGCCUUUCCAAAGCGAGCAGAAGGUAAACACAGCGUACAUAGUAACUGUUUGGGAAAUAGGGAUUCAGCUGGAAGGCUAAGUAGAAAGAGGAAAGGUCGAGAGAGCUGUGAAGAGGUUGAUUGUGGAUGAAGAAGGUGCAGAGAUGAGGGAUAGAGCAUUAGUUUUGAAAGAAAAGUUCAAAGUCUCUUUGAUAAGUGGAGGCUCCUCAUACAAUGCUUUGGAUGAGUUCGUCAAAUAGUUGACGAUAAAGAAGAGAUGUUGAACUUAAUGUAUUUAUUACUAAAGACCAUUGAUCAUAUUGAGUUAUAUGGAUUAACCUUGAUAUUGUAAAAUCCACUGAGCAGUUUUGGUUUUGGAAAUAAAAACCAG